rnacentral:rRNA from 1 species
CCCACGGGUCAAAGGAGCAAUUCGCUUGAGGAGGAGGUCGCGGCCGAUUAGUUAGUUGGCGGGGUAAUGGCCCCACCCAAGACGGUGAUCGGUAUCCGGCCUGAGAGGGCGCACGGACACACUGGAACUGAAACACGGUCCAGACUCCUACGGGAGGCAGCAGUGGGGAAUUUUGCGCAAUGGGGGAAACCCUGACGCAGCAACGCCGCGUGGAGGAUGAAGUCUCUUGGGACGUAAACUCCUUUCGAUCGGGACGAUUAUGACGGUACCGGAAGAAGAAGCCCCGGCUAACUUCGUG